GACGAACGCUGGCGGCGUGCUUAACACAUGCAAGUCGAGCGGUAAGGCCUUUCGGGGUACACGAGCGGCGAACGGGUGAGUAACACGUGGGUGAUCUGCCCUGCACUUCGGGAUAAGCCUGGGAAACUGGGUCUAAUACCGGAUAUGACCUCCUAUCGCAUGGUGGGUGGUGGAAAGAUUUAUCGGUGCAGGAUGGGCCCGCGGCCUAUCAGCUUGUUGGUGGGGUAAUGGCCUACCAAGGCGACGACGGGUAGCCGACCUGAGAGGGUGACCGGCCACACUGGGACUGAGACACGGCCCAGACUCCUACGGGAGGCAGCAGUGGGGAAUAUUGCACAAUGGGCGAAAGCCUGAUGCAACGACGCCGCGUGAGGGAUGACGGCCUUCGGGUUGUAAACCUCUUUCAGCAGGGACGAAGCGCAAGUGACGGUACCUGCAGAAGAAGCACCGGCUAACUACGUGCCAGCAGCCGCGGUAAUACGUAGGGUGCAAGCGUUGUCCGGAAUUACUGGGCGUAAAGAGUUCGUAGGCGGUCUGUCGCGUCGUUUGUGAAAACCAGCAGCUCAACUGCUGGCUUGCAGGCGAUACGGGCAGACUUGAGUACUGCAGGGGAGACUGGAAUUCCUGGUAUAGCGGUGAAAUGCGCAGAUAUCAGGAGGAACACCGGUGGCGAAGGCGGGUCUCUGGGCAGUAACUGACGCUGAGGAACGAAAGCGUGGGUAGCGAACAGG
rnacentral:rRNA from 1 species